rnacentral:tRNA from 1 species
ACCCUGAUGGUACAAACCGUUAAGUGUUUGGCUGCUAACCAAAAGGUUGGUGGUUCGAAUCCACCUAGUGGCU